UGAGCCUUCGGUCACAAAUGAUCAGAGCUGUCAGAGUCCAUGGGCGUGGGACCUGUUGGGACUCCAAGCAUAUCCACUGUAUGAUUAGUAGAUCCGCUAAAUUUCUCCGAUGACACACUUAUCCAGUGUACGUAUUAAGUAGCGGAAAAAAUGUUAACAAUAAUGGGGAUGCAAAUAUUUUUGUUUACCA